GUUUAGGUAGCUUAAGUUAAAGCAUAUGGCUUUUAACCAUAAGAGUGGUGGAGAGUUCACUCCUAUACAC
rnacentral:tRNA from 1 species